rnacentral:rRNA from 1 species
AGUCGAGCGAGACCUUCGGGUCUAGCGGCGGACGGGUUAGUAACGCGUGGGAACGUGCCCUUCUCUGCGGAAUAGCCACUGGAAACGGUGAGUAAUACCGCAUACGCCCUUCGGGGGAAAGAUUUAUCGGAGAAGGAUCGGCCCGCGUUAGAUUAGAUAGUUGGUGGGGUAACGGCCUACCAAGUCUACGAUCUAUAGCUGGUUUUAGAGGAUGAUCAGCAACACUGGGACUGAGACACGGCCCAGACUCCUACGGGAGGCAGCAGUGGGGAAUCUUAGACAAUGGGCGCAAGCCUGAUCUAGCCAUGCCGCGUGUGUGAUGAAGGUCUUAGGAUCGUAAAGCACUUUCGCCAGGGAUGAUAAUGACAGUACCUGGUAAAGAAACCCCGGCUAACUCCGUGCCAGCAGCCGCGGUAAUACGGAGGGGGUUAGCGUUGUUCGGAAUUACUGGGCGUAAAGCGCGCGUAGGCGGAUUGGAAAGUUGGGGGUGAAAUCCCGGGGCUCAACCCCGGAACUGCCUCCA